AUUGAACGCUGGCGGCAGGCUUAACACAUGCAAGUCGAGCGGGGUGAUGGUGCUUGCACUAUCACUUAGCGGCGGACGGGUGAGUAAUGCUUAGGAAUCUGCCUAUUAGUGGGGGACAACAUCUCGAAAGGGAUGCUAAUACCGCAUACGUCCUACGGGAGAAAGCAGGGGAUCACUUGUGACCUUGCGCUAAUAGAUGAGCCUAAGUCGGAUUAGCUAGUUGGUGGGGUAAAGGCCUACCAAGGCGACGAUCUGUAGCGGGUCUGAGAGGAUGAUCCGCCAAACUGGGACUGAAUCACGGCCCAGACUCCUACGGGAGGCAGCAGUGGGGAAUAUUGGACAAUGGGGGGAACCCUGAUCCAGCCAUGCCGCGUGUGUGAAGAAGGCCUUAUGGUUGUAAAGCACUUUAAGCGAGGAGGAGGCUCUUUUGGUUAAUACCCAAGAUGAGUGGACGUUACUCGCAGAAUAAGCACCGGCUAACUCUGUGCCAGCCGCCGCAGUAA
rnacentral:rRNA from 1 species